UACGUAGGGGGGCAAGCGUUGUCCGGAUUUAUUGGGCGUAAAGAGCGUGUAGGCGGCCAGGUAGGUCGGUUGUGAAAACUCGAGGCUCAACCUCGAGAGGUCGGUGGAAACCGUAUGGCUAGAGUCCGGAAGAGGAGAGUGGAAUUCCCGGUGUAGCGGUGAAAUGCGCAGAUAUCGGGAAGAACACCCGUGGCGAAGGCGGCUCUCUGGGACGGUACUGACGCUGAGACGCGAAAAGCGUGGGGGAGCGAACAGG
rnacentral:rRNA from 1 species